rnacentral:lncRNA from 1 species
AGGAGCCCCCAGAUUAGAAAGGAGGAUGGAAAGUAACCAGGACACUUGUUUAACAAGACAUCUGCCCAUGUCCCUGGCCCAUCUCAUUGGCUGCAGCACAUCACAGUGGACCUUCUGCCUCCUCCCAGAUGCCCAGGGACAGUGAUCUGGAAGGAAGGGGCUUGAGGCUGUUUUCCUAGAACUCGAGUGGUAACUUCUGAGCUGACAUCUGAAGGAUGAGGAAAAUCCAGCGAGGCAAAGAGCUUAAGGAAGAACAUUCCAGUCAAAGGAACCAGGCAGAGUUUUUCUGAUAGGAAGUGAAAGGCCUAGUGACACCCCAUGUUUCUUUCUGUUUAUGUUCCAAGCUGGGAUUUGAACAUGAAUUUACACCCUUAUAUCAGGCUAUUGGGUG